rnacentral:rRNA from 1 species
ACAAAACUUCCAAGCAUAAGGAAAUAAACCUAAUUAAGACCAACAAGUCAAAACAAAACUUGACCCAGUAAAACUGAUCACCGAACCAAGUUACCCCAGGGAUAACAGCGCAAUCUUCUUCAAGAGUUCUUAUCGACAAGAAGGUUUACGACCUCGAUGUUGGAUCAGGACACCCAAAUGGUGCAGCCGCUAUUAAAGGUUCGUUUGUUCAACGAUUAAUAGUCCUACGUGAUCUGAGUUCAGACCGGAGUAAUCCAGGUCGGUUUCUAUCUAUGCAGUUGUUUUCUACAGUACGAAAGGACCUAGAAAACGGGACCAAUACUAACAGCAAGUCCUAACUACUAAGGCUGACUAAAACUGAAGCCUAACAAACAAAACCACACAAAACCCGGAGAUAACGGGCUUA